UGACUUAUAAUUUAAUGGUAGAAUUCUAUACUUCUAAUAUAAUAAUUCAGGUUCGAAUCCUGAUAAGUCAA